CCACUUCCACUCCCCUUCUCACUGACCCGGCACCCUGUCAUCCUCCUGCCUGGCCACGAGGCAUCUCUCGGAGCGCAGAAAAGGGCGUUAUUUGCUGCAGCCGCACAGCAAAAGGCCCAGGCGCCCUCCCUGCCCUGCGGCCCCAUGGAGAGCUCACCUGGGAAGCCUAGUCGUUCGAAAGGGCACCUCACCCAGAAGCCCCGGCUGGUGGAGACCUGCAGAGAGGACACGAGGGCGAGCUGUGGCAGGUGGGGGUGGCCGGGGCCUCGGGCAGGCUGGCCUCCUUCCCGCAGAACCAUUCAGCUGCACCCGCUGUCAGACCGGGGGGGGGGGGGCACGGGGGUCCCUGGGAGGCUGGACCCCAGGGCCGGGCAAGGUCUGGAGUGAGUGUGGCUGCACGUCCCCGCCCCCACGCCCCCCCCCCCCAUCCCUCUGCCGACCCCUCUGCCGGCCUCCCUGCUGCCUCUCCCUAAGCGCCAGGCUGGCGCCGGCCCACUCACCUUCAGGCAGAGCUGGGGCUGUGUGUCCACCAGCGGGUACUGCACCUGCGGGGGGGCUCGGGUCAGGCCCUGGCCGUCCGUGCCCACCCCCACCCCGCCCGGUGGCCACUCACCCUGCCCCGUGCCGACCGGCCGGAGUGCUCCAGCUCGUGGCAGAGGGCCCCUGGCUCCGGGCGCCAGCACAGGCUCACGUGGCCGCUCACGGGACAGGCGGGCUCCCAGCUCAGUGCCUGGCUUCCGGGGUGGUAGCGGAUGGCGUCCCACAGUGCCUCUGUGUCUGCAGGGACCCUCCCCGGGGGCUCCAGUCAGCUGAGCCCAGCGCCUGCUUAAGGGACUGCUGGGCCACGUCGAGACUCAGGUGCCGUUUCCCUGCGGGUCUCUGGGCCCUGGCCAAGUGUGUGUGUGUGUGUGUGUGUGUGUGUGUGUGUGUGUGUGUGUCCGUGUGCCUGUGCGGUGUCAGGGAGCAGAGCCCAGCGCAGGGUAACACUCCUCCACCCUGCAGAGAGCCGCCCUCGACAACACUUGCUUCUUCUUCCGGGUGAGCGGGGCCGGGGCUCGUGCACACGUGUACGCUGGGCGCGCGCACGCGGGCACACCCAUGUCUGCAGAUUCUGCCGCUGAAAGGGCUUGCUUGGGACACCCCUUCGGCUACGUGUUGCCCGAAGCACGCUCAAGGACCUGGGCCGGCCCGGCCCCCACCCUGGCAGGCACCUUGGACGCGCCCACCUUUCCCGCCCCCUACUCCACCCCACGGGGCACUUGCCAUUUUCGAAGGGACAGGCCUGCAUCCGCACUGCGUCAGGGGUCGCAGACCAGCCCUGCGGGAGGGGCCGGAGUCAGCGCAGGUCCUGCCCUUCCCUCGUCUCCUCCCCGCAGUGAAGGCCACACGCUCACUGACCUCAAGGCACAGGCACGGCAGCUCUCGGCCGUAGGGCAGAGAGACGGCGCGGGAGACCCUGUUCACCGUCACCUGCAGCGGAGUGGAGGGCUCAGGGGCUGGGGGCCCAGUGGGUGGGCGUGGCCUGGGCUGGGACAGGGCGGGGCGUGACGGCCCGGGGUGGGUGGGGCCAGGGGCUUGUGGGGCGCGGCCCCGGGGCGGGUGGAGCCCGGGCUCGGGUGUGGGGCGGAACUUGGUCUGGGCCCGGAGGCGGUGUCCGCGGCCGGGCUCACCCGCACUGGGGCACCCACGUCCUCACAGGUGAACCACUUGAGGCAGAGCCGCACGUAGUAGUCGGAGUCCGCGGGAGCCUCGGGCACCUGUACCAGAAUGACCUUGCGGCCGCGGUCUACCCAAAAGAAGUCCCGCCUCUCCAGGGAGGCCGUGACCCCGGAGCUAAGCCAAGGCGCUUGCUGGGAGCUGUGCAGCAUGGGGCCCUGCCCCCUGCCUCGCGUGUCCCACCCCGAGUCGGUCCCUAGACGCCAGCGGCAGGCAGCCGUGCGGGGCCCGCCCCAGGGACUCUCACCUUCCACAUGGUAUUGUUGGUCCAGCCGGACCCCACAGAAGUGGGGCACUGUCCUCAGGGUGACGUAGAGGCUCUGGGCCACGCUUACUUUGAAGCAUUCAAAGUGCACCUGGAGCUGGGCAGGUGCAGGUGUGAGCCAGGCGCACCUGGGGUCUCCACCUACCCACCCCUGGCCAGGCCAGCCCCGCCUGGCACAGCCGGAGCCCCGCAGAAGGGUGCCCGUUCCUUGGGCAUCGGGUCGGUCAGGUGUCGAGGAAGGGGGGGGCAGCCCCGGGACAGCUGCUCCUGCCUGACAAAGGCUUGGGCUGGGUGGCCCGGCAGGUGUGGGUCAGGCCCUGGCCUCACCUGCUGCCCCACAUGUAGUCGGCGGGAGGCCCUUGAGACCCGCACGCUCUGACACUGGGUCUCCUGGGUGUCGAGGCUCAUGGAGCAGGCCUCCAGGCCCCGCAGGCUCUCUGGGUGAAGGGAGGGACCGGGCAGGGCUUGUCAGAUGGGGCGGUGAAUCCUGUCCUCUCCUCUCUCCGCGAUGUGCGUCUAGCGGGGCCACCCUGCCCCACCGGGCCGUCGGAUGGUGGGGGCUAAAGGAGCCCGGAGCCCAGCCCCCUCACGGUCAGCACACCCCGAGACCUCUCACCGUGCAGCGUGAGGGAGGCCUGCACACGCAGGAGCAGGGAGCAACCGUCGUGGGGGGCACACCUCAUGGCAGUGGAGAGCGUCAGGGCCUCCAGGAUGGACCUGGACAUGGACGAAGGGGACUGCCGGCAGAAGCUGCUAAGAAUGUUCCCUGAGGAGGGGAGAUGAGGAAGCCAAAACCUGGAGACAGCACAAAUGUUCAUCAGCAGGUGAGUGGGCAAACAGAUCGUGGUGUAGCCAUCCAGUGCAAUGGGCUUUUGACACACGCCACACACGGAUGAAUCUAGAUAUCAUUACGCAGAGCAAAAGAAUCCAGACACAAGAGUACCCAAUGCCUGAUUCCAUGCGUCUAAAAUUUGAGAAAAUGUGAGCUAAUCGCUAUGGAAAGAAAGCAGAUAUGUGGUGUCCAUUAUCCUGACGGAGGUAAUGGUUUCACAGGCUUCACGUAAAACCUUAGCAAACUGGAUAUUUAAAAUAUAUACAGUUUGUUUUAGGUCGGCUGUAUGUCAAUAAUGCCGUAAAGCAAUUUCCUCCUUCCUGUUCGUCUACAGUAUGCACAAGAGGCAGGUGGUGUCCUUGGCGAGAUGUCGUGCUGAGCUGGGCCCCAGAAGAGCGGGUUUCUCCCAACCCAGUUUAAAUUUGUACAAGACCAUGGGGCGCCUGGGUGGCUCAGUCAGUUAGCUGUCCAACUUCAGCUCAGGUCAUGAUCUUGCAGUUCGUGGGUUUGAGCCCCAUGUCGGGCUCUGUGCUGACAGCUCGGGGCUCAGAGCCUGGAGCCUGCUUUGCAUUCUGUGUGUGUGUGUGUCUCUCUC